GGGCCCGCACAAGCGGUGGAGCAUGUGGUUCAAUUCGACGCAACGCGAAGAACCUUACCCAGGCUUGAACUGCGAGUGACAUCCUACGAAAGUAGGCUUCCGCAAGGACACUCGUAGAGGUGCUGCAUGGCUGUCGUCAGCUCGUGUCGUGAGAUGUUGGGUUAAGUCCCGCAACGAGCGCAACCCUUGUCUUCUGUUGCCAUCGGGUUAUGCCGGGCACUCUGAAGAGACUGCCGGUGACAAACCGGAGGAAGGUGGGGAUGACGUCAAGUCAGCAUGGCCUUUAUGUCUGGGGCCACACACGUGCUACAAUGGCCGGUACAAACCGUCGCGAUCUCGCGAGAGGGAGCUAAUCGGAGAAAGCCGGUCUCAGUUCGGAUUGUAGGCUGCAACUCGCCUGCAUGAAGUUGGAAUCGCUAGUAAUCGCGGAUCAGCACGCCGCGGUGAAUACGUUCCCGGGCCUU
rnacentral:rRNA from 1 species